UUUUUUCAAUUUUGUUUAUACUAUCCUUUCUCUUUUUUUAGUUUUCUCUAGUUUUUUUUCUGCCUGUUUUAAGUUUUUUUAUUAGUUUUUUUAGUUUUUUUCUGUUAUAUAUAAUUAGGGUGUUUUUUUUUCAGAAAUUCUUUUCCUUCUGUUUUUUUAUUUUGUUUACACUAUCCUUUCUCCUCUUUUUAGUUUACUUUAGUUUUUUCUGCCUGUUUUAAGUUUUUUUUUAGUUUUUUAAAGUUUUUUUUAGAAAUACUAUUCUUUUUCUUCUUUUUUUAGUUUUCUUUAGUUUUAUUCUGCCUGUUUUUAAGGGUUUUUUUUAGUUUUUUUUUCAGUUUUUUUGUUAUUUAUAUAUAUAUAUAGGUUUUUCUUUUCUGAAAUACUUUUCCUUCUGUUUUUUUUUUUUAUUUUGUUUAUACCAUCCUUUCUAUCCUUUAUCCUAUCCUUUCUUUUAGUUUUUUUAGUUCUUUUUGUUAUAUAUAUUUAGGGUGUUUUUUUUCAGAAAUACUUUUCCUUCUGUUUUUUUAAUUUUGUUUACACUAUCCUUUCUCCUUUUUUUAGUUUACUUUAGUUUUUUCUGCCUGUUUUAAGUUUUUUUUAUUUUUUUAACGUUUUUUUAGAAAUACUAUUCUUUUUCUUCUUUUUUAGUUUUCUUUAGUUUUAUUCUGCCUGUUUUUAAGUUUUUUUUAAGUUUUUUUUUGUUAUUUAUAUAUAUAUAUAUAUAGGUUGUUCUUUUCUGAAAUACUUUUCCUUCUGUUUUUUAUUUUGUUUAUACUAUCCUUUCUCUUUUUUUUAGUUUUCUUUAGUUUUUUUUCUGCCUGUUUUAAUUUUUUUUUGUUUUUUUUUUGUUUUUUCUAUAUAUUUAGGGUGUUUUUUUCUGAUAUACUUUUCUUUCUGUUUUUUUUUAUUUUGUUUUAACUAUCCUUUCUCUUUUGUAGUUUUCUUCAUUUUUUUCUUCAUGUUUUAAUUUUUUUUUUAGUUUUUUCUAUAUAUUUAGGGUGUUUUUUUCUGAAAUACUUUUCCUUCUGUUUUUUUUAUUUUGUUUAUACUUUCCUUUCUCUUUUUUUAAUUUUCUUUAGUUUUUUGUCUGCCUGUUUUAAGUUUUUCUUUUAGUUUUUUUAGUUAUUUUUGUAAUAUAUUAAGGGUGUUUUAUCAGAAAUACUUUUCCUUCUUUUUUUUAUUUUGUUUAUAAUAUCCUUUCUCCUUUUUUAGUUUACUUUAGAUUUUUCUGCCUGUUUUAAGUUUUUUAAAAGUUUUUUUUAGUUCUUUUUGUAAUAUAUUUAGGGUGUUUUUUCAGAAAUACUUUUCCUUCUGUUUUUUAAUUUUGUUUAUACUAUUUUUAGUUUUCUUUAGUUUUUUUCUGCCUGUUUAAAGUUUUUUUUUUGUUUUUUUUUAGUUUUUUUUUAUUUAUAAAUAUAUUUAGGGUGUUUUUUUCAGAUAUACUUUUCCUUCUGUUUUUUUAUUUUGUUUAUACCAUCCUUUCUAUUUUUUAGUUUUCUUUAGUUUUUUUCUGCCUGUUUUAAGUUUUGUUUUGUUUUUUUAGUUUUUUUUUGUUUUUUCUAUAUAUUUAGGGUGUUUUUUCUGAAAUACUUUUCCUUCUGUUUUUUUUUAUUUUGUUUACACUAUCCUUUCUCCUUUUUUAGUUUACUUUAGUUUUUUUCUGCCUGUUAAGUUUUUUUUUAGAUUUUUUUUAGUUUUUUAAAGUUUUUUUUAGAAAUACUAUUCUUUUUCUUCUUUUUUUAGUUUUCUUUAGUUUUUUUCUGCCUGUUUUAAGUUUUUUUUAGUUUUUUGUUAUUUAUAUAUAUUAAGGGUGUUCUUUUCUGAAAUACUUUUCCUUAUGUUUUUUAUUUUGUUUAUACUAUCCUUUCUCUUUUUUUAGUUUUCUUUAGUUUUUUUUCUGCCUGUUUUAAUUUUUUUUUGUUUUUUUUUUCUUUUUUUCUAUAUAUUUAGGGUGUUUUUUUCUGAUAUACUUUUCUUUCUGUUUUUUUUUAUUUUGUUUUAACUAUCCUUUCUCUUUUGUAGUUUUCUUCAUUUUUUUCUUCAUGUUUUAAUUUUUUUUUUUAGUUUUUUCUAUAUAUUUAGGGUGUUUUUUUCUGAAAUACUUUUCCUUCUGUUUUUUUAUUUUGUUUAUACUAUCCUUUCUCUUUUUUUAAUUUUCUUUAGUGUUUUGUCUGCCUGUUUUAAGUUUUUCUUUUAGUUUUUUAGUUCUUUUUGUAAUAUAUUAAGGGUGUUUUAUCAGAAAUACUUUUCCUUCUUUUUUUUUAUUUUGUUUAUAAUAUCCUUUCUCCUUUUUUUGUUUACUUUAGAUUUUUCUGCCUGUUUUAAGUUUUUUUUAAAGUUUUUUUUAGUUCUUUUUGUAAUAUAUUUAGGGUGUUUUUUCAGAAAUACUUUUCCUUCUGUUUUUUAAUUUUGUUUAUACUAUUUUUAGUUUUCUUUAGUUUUUUUCUGCCUGUUUAAAGUUUUUUUUUUAGUUUUUUUUUAGUUUUUUUUAUUUAUAAAUAUAUUUAGGGUGUGUUUUUCCGAUAUACUUUUCCUUCUGUUUUUUUAUUUUGUUUAUACCAUCCUUUCUAUUUUUUAGUUUUCUUUAGUUUUUUUCUGCCUGUUUUAAGUUUUGUUUUGUUUUUUUAGUUUUUUUUGUUUUUUCUAUAUAUUUAGGGUCUUUUUUUCUGAAAUACUUUUCCCUCUGUUUUUUUAUUUUGUUUAUACUAUCCUUUCUAUUUUUUAGUUUUCUUUAGUUUUUUUCUGCCUGUUUUAAGUUUUUUUUUUUUUUUUUUCUAUAUAUUUGGGGUAUUUUUUCUGAUAUACUUUUCUUUCUGUUUUUUCAAUUUUGUUUAUACUAUCCUUUCUCUUUUUUUAGUUUUCUCUAGUUUUUUUCUGCCUGUUUUAAGUUUUUUUAUUAGUUUUUUUUUAGUUUUUUUUAUUUAUAAAUAUAUUUAGGGUGUGUUUUUCAGAUAUACUUUUCCUUCUGUUUUUUUAUUUUGUUUAUACCAUCCUUUCAAUUUUUUAGUUUUCUUUAGUUUUUUUCUGCCUGUUUUAAGUUUUGUUUUGUUUUUUUAGUUUUUUUUGUUUUUUCUAUAUAUUUAGGGUGUUUUUUCUGAAAUACUUUUCCUUCUGUUUUUUUUAUUUUGUUUACACUAUCCUUUCUCCUUUUUUAGUUUACUUUAGUUUUUUUCUGCCUGUUAAGUUUUUUUUUAGAUUUUUUUUUAGUUUUUUAAAGUUUUUUUAGAAAUACUAUUCUUUUUCUUCUUUUUUUAGUUUUCUUUAGUUUUUGUCUGCCUGUUUUAAGUUUUUUUUAGUUUUUUGUUAUUUAUAUAUAUUAAGGGUGUUCUUUUCUGAAAUACUUUUCCUUCUGUUUUUUUUAUUUUGUUUAUACUAUCCUUUCUCUUUUUUAGUUUUCUUUAGUUUUUGUCUGCCUGUUCUAAGUUUUUUUUUCAGUUUUUUGAAGUUUUUUUGGAAAUACUAAUCUUCUUUUUAUUAGUUUUCUUUAGUUUUUUUCUGCCUGUUUUAAUUUUUCUAUUUUUUGUUUUCUUUAGUUUUUUUUUUCUUCAGUUUUUUUCCCUAUUUUUUUCCCUGGCACCUCUGUCUGGAUGAGCUACUCUUAGUCUGGUCCCUACCCCAGGACCUGCUGCCUUGGGUAACCUUUCAGAGGCAUAAAGCCCUGACAACAUAGCUCCUGGGAUCAUUGGGACACACAAACCCCUCCACCACGGUAAGGUGGUAGCUCAAGGAGGGGAAAAAACCCUCACAUGGGAGGGAAAAACCGCAAGGGUUUUUUUUUCUGUCCAAAACACCCGGUUUAGGGUGGGUUUUUGUUCCUUUUUUUCAGAAAUACUUUUCUUUUCUUUAGUUUCCUAUAGUUCUUUUUUAUUUUUCUGCCUGUUUUAAGUUUUUUUUUUCAGAAAUACUGUGAUUUUACUUUUUUUUUUUUUUUUUACAAAUACUAUUCUUUUUCUUUGUUUUCUUUAGUUUUUUUCUGCAUGUUUAAAGUUUUUUUUUAGUUUUUUUGUUAUUUAUAAAUAUAAAGGGUUUCCCUUUCUAAAAUACUUUUCCUUCUGUUUUUUUUAUUUUGUUUAUACUAUCCUUUCUCUUUUUUAGUUUUCUUUAGUUUUUUUCUACCUGUUUUAAUUUUUUUUUGUUUUUGUUUUUUCUAUAUAUUUAGGGUCUUUUUUUCUGAAAUACUUUUCCCUCUGUUUUUUUAUUUUGUUUAUACUAUCCUUUCUCUUUUUUAGUUUUCUUUAGUUUUUUUCUGCCUGUUUUAAGUUUUUUUGUUGUUUUUUUUUGUUUUUUCUAUAUAUUUGGGGUGUUUUUUCUGAUAUACUUUUCUUUCUGUUUUUUCAAUUUUGUUUAUACUAUCCUUUCUCUUUUUUUAGUUUUCUCUAGUUUUUUUUCUGCCUGUUUUAAGUUUUUUUAUUAGUUUUUUUAGUUUUUUUCUGUUAUAUAUAAUUAGGGUGUUUUUUUUCAGAAAUUCUUUUCCUUCUGUUUUUUUAUUUUGUUUACACUAUCCUUUCUCCUCUUUUUAGUUUUCUUUAGUUUUAUUCUGCCUGUUUGUAAGUGUUUUUUUAAGUUUUUUUUUGUUUUUUUGUUAUUUAUAUAUAUAUA
rnacentral:lncRNA from 1 species